AAAUUUUGUCACACCUGAUCUGAGAAUAUAAAAUUUGUUCAUUUGCAAAACAUGCUUCUGAAAUAUUUUGUUUCCAUUAUUUAUUUAGCCAGCUAGUUUCUUAUGGGUACUAAAGAAGGUCUCCCAAAUUACCUAAAUUCCACAAUAGGGCUUAGAUUUAUGAAGUUUUAUAUUUUUUCCUCCUUAUAAAAAGCUCUUUUUAUAAAGAAUAUCCAUGUAAUACUAAAACGGGGAAAUCUCCUAAAUAAUAUAUUUUUUAAUAUUACUUUUUUAAAAAGCUAGGGUGAGCACCUCACAAUCAAAAUUUAAUGUAUUUGUCAUAUUGAAAUGCAGGGUUUUUUGAAGGAAACAUGGUAGGUAAACAUUUUAGUUCCCAACUCCUGAUCGUUAAAAUGCAAAAUUGGGCCUGGUGUGGUGGCUCACGCCUGUAAUCCCAGCACUUUGGGAGACCAAGGCGGGUGGAUCACGAGGUCAGGAGUUCAAGACCAGCCUGGCCUAGAUGGUGAAAUCCCCGUCUCUACUAAAAAUACAAAAAUUAGCCGGGCAUGGUGGCAGACGCCUGUAACCCCAGCUACUUGGUAGGCUGAGGCAGAGAAUUGCUUGAACCCAGGAGGCGGAGGUUGCAUUGAGCCGAGAUUGUGCCACUGGACUCCAGCCUGGGUGACAGAGUGAGACUCCAUCUCAAAAAAAAAAAAAAAGCAAAAUUGUUGGCAUCUCUAAGACAGAGCAAGACUCCCUCUCUAAGAGAUAGUAGUGUCUCCCACUUAAUUGAAUUCGUUUUGUUUUGUUUGCUUUGCUUUGAUUCUUGCCACGUAAAAUCUGUGGGUCUUGACCCAGAGAUUUGCUCAGACAGUUAAGAAAAAUAAUAAGAUGUAUUUGUAAAUUUUUACAUAAUGAAAAAUGAGAUGUAUUUGUAAAAUUUUAAAAUAACCUCUUUAUAAAUACGUUUAUAAAUAUAAAGAGGUAGGAUGUUUUGGCUAAUUAGCACAUUCUGGGUCAUACACACACACACACAAACAGGCCAAACACUCUAGAUAGUCAAAUAAAUUCCCCUUUUGGUGAUUCAGUUCAGUAAUGGUGAUUCAGUUCAGUAACUGCCUAUCCUCAUCAAUGCUUGUUUGUGAUGAUGAAAUAGUUGACAACCGGGACUUUACAAAAAUAGCUCCUGAAAAAAAUUAAAUAUUUUAUUGCAAUAUAUGUUCAUAUUUUUUUUAACUUUUAUGAAAUAACAUUGUGAUAGGUGCUUUAAGAAAAAUAUUUUUCCAGAAGUGGUUUAUAGUAUAAACUAAGGGCAGUUUUUACAUUGUGAUGUGUGGGUGGAUGGUCAUAUUUAGUUAGGUUAUUAAGAAAUCAUGAAGUGUUCCCUAACAAGAAACUUGCAAAGCUAUUUGGCAGGAAGAAAAUCAUUAACUUCUAGUUUAUUUAUUUUUUUUCUCAUGCUAUACGCUUAAUUACCAAGUAAAUUCACUUGCAUACCAUUACCUUAAUUCAAAGGAGAAGCCAGAAUGUUUAUCAUUGGUGGGAGUAAAAUAUACACAGAUUCUUUACCAUGGUGAAAUAGAAUAAUACUGAAUUCCCAAUACAGAAAUACUAAUUUCAUAAGCUAAUAUUCCUAUCUUUUAGCUGACUUCUUUCUCUCUUCAGGAUAUAUUUACUAUUUAUUAUUUACCUUUGAAUUUUUGAUUUGGGGGAUUUUUACCUAUUGCCAUCCUACUAUCUUAAGUAUCCUGUACAAUGAAAUAUCUUAGCAAGGAAACACUUUUAAAACUUCACAAAUAUCCAAUUUCAUUCUUAACAUAUGGGGGAAGCAGUAAAAGAAAAAGCACUUCACCACGUAGAAGAGAAAGUGAUCAUUUUAAUUAAGAUAAUUUCAAUUCAUUAUCAACAUUUAAUCCUCUGCAAACAAGGGAACACUUACUAGCAGUACUUGAAGACUUGUGAGUUGGAAUUGCAUGUUACUUGAAAGAUCUAAUUAAGCUAAAUUUUGGUGCACAGCAGGUUGUACAUGAUUUCAUGUUUAUGUAGCAAAAUGCAUUGAAAUGUAUUAGUGUUGAAACAUACAUGUAAAGGUAGUUGUGGAAAUUGUUAUAUUUUCCUUGUGUGUCAUUUAUUUAGAGCAUAAAGGUUUUUUUUAUUCAGCCUAACUGAAUAAGGCUAAAUGAAUACUGUAAUUGAAAAUAUAUUUUAAAUCUUUGUCAUGAGUUUUUUUAAAAAAAACUAUUGCAAAUUGUAUCAUUCCUGAUUACACAGAACUUUGUGGGUGGUUUUAAAUAAAUUUUAUACUUCUAUUUUGCA
ensembl:lncRNA novel transcript, overlapping to TET1